AUACGGAGGGUGCAAGCGUUAUCCGGAAUCAUUGGGUUUAAAGGGUCCGCAGGCGGAAGAAUAAGUCAGUGGUGAAAUCUCCCAGCUCAACUGGGAAACUGCCAUUGAUACUGUUUUUCUUGAAUUUGGUCGGAGUGGGCGGAAUGUGUCAUGUAGCGGUGAAAUGCAUAGAUAUGACACAGAACACCGAUAGCGAAGGCAGCUCACUAGACCUGAAUUGACGCUCAUGGACGAAAGCGUGGGGAGC
rnacentral:rRNA from 1 species